rnacentral:rRNA from 1 species
AGUGAACGCUGGCGGUAGGCCUAACACAUGCAAGUCGAACGGCAGCACAGUAAGAGCUUGCUCUUACGGGUGGCGAGUGGCGGACGGGUGAGGAAUACAUCGGAAUCUACUUUUUCGUGGGGGAUAACGUAGGGAAACUUACGCUAAUACCGCAUACGACCUACGGGUGAAAGCAGGGGAUCUUCGGACCUUGCGCGAUUGAAUGAGCCGAUGUCGGAUUAGCUAGUUGGCGGGGUAAAGGCCCACCAAGGCGACGAUCCGUAGCUGGUCUGAGAGGAUGAUCAGCCACACUGGGACCUAGACACGGUCCAGACUCCUACGGGAGGGAGCAGUGGGGAAUUUUUGACAAUGGGCGGAAGCCUGAUCCAGGCAUACCGCGUGGGGUAAGAAGGCCUUUGGGUUUGAAAGCCCUUUUGUUGGGAAAGAAAAGCAGCAGGUUAAUACCCCGCUGUUCUGACGGUACCCAAAGAAUAAGCACCGGCUAACUUCGUG